UGCAUACUGGAACCGGGUGGUCCCUGUAUUAAGCCUAUGGGAGUGAGAGAAUUCAGUAGUCCACGGGUUAACAACAUAAUACCCGCGAGGCUAGACUAGACUGCGCGCGCUGGCGCUAGCGCGCUCGCUGCUUAAUGCAGUAAUAGCGUAUAUAGCCAGGCGGCCAUGCCAUGCCAGGCCUUGUACGUAUGUACUACUAAGUUACGUCUACGGUAGAUCGACUGAAUUCAACCAGAAGUUGCCGGUUGCAAUCGCGAGGAUUGAAGCGUGUUCUUCGGCAACACUGAGGCAGCAUUUGAGAAGAAAUAUCCCUCAGGCUCAGCUCACCAAUUGAAGGACAAGGACAAGGGUUCUAUCCAGAGUUUCCAAGCACAAUUUUUGUAGGGUGUUUUCUGCAGCUGUGACCCAUGCAUACACACCCUAGCCUCCAGCACAGCAUUGACCACCCAGCUAAUCUCAUUCAGGUAUGACUUUCUGGGAUUGAUUUGAAGCUCAAUGAACAGAAGGCUCAAGAUUAGCUAUUGUCACCUUCAUCAGGGGUGGGUUCAUUAGGAUCAGGGGUGGGGGCUAAAUGGAAAAGGGAACAGAUUUAUCAAUUUUUUUAC